AGCCCCCUCCCCUCGAGCCCCCUCUACGCACCCCUGCAUGUCGCGGAAGCAGCGGAUGCACAACAGCAACUUCUUGUCGGUUGAGAACAAGAGUAAUCCAGGCACUUGGCGCUCUGAUAUACCCGCUUUACAGAUGAGGGCACUGCGGCUAAGAGGCAGGGUCACAGUUGGCACAGCGCACCGCCUCCACGCCAUCCCCUGAGCUGUCCACCAGGAACUGCAGCAGCCGGUCCACCGGCGGGAGCCCGCUGGGACCCUUCACCACCGUCUGGUGUCUGCAGAGAAGCCCAGGUCAUCGCAGCCGCAUUUCCUCGGCGGCCAAUUGGGGGCGCCAGACAGCAGCGGACGCCCCUCCACCGACUUUCCAGCGCUUGGGAGGCGGAGUGAGACGCCCUGGAAUCCCAGCCCUGCCUUUCGUUGGUUGUGAGCUCUUGGCCAUGUUACUGACCUCUCAGAGCCUCAGCGCUGGGUUAAAAUAGAACUGGUGUCCUGAUAAUGGGUGAGGCCCCAGUGGAAUAACGCACGUGAAAUACACAUACUGGGCGUCCACUUAAUUAAGGCCCCAUCCUCAUUGCCUGCCAAGUUUCCAAAAGAGGGAUGGGUUUGGGUGGGAGGUUGAGAGGGGAGGCUCCCGGCCUUUCCAGCAGUGCCCCGUCUGCCGUCUGGGCCUGGCAGAUGCGUGUUGAUCCCAGCGUUUUCUCCAGCGUGCCGUCGCUUCCUAGGUCGACGUGAUCAGUGAGCUUUCUCCGCCCGUGUUAUCCUGAGUGUCCGGAGAGCAGCCCGUUUCUGCCCCUCUUGGGAUUACAAAGUCAAGCCUAGAGCCUGACCCACAGUAGUGCCCAAUAAAGGCUUAGAAAAAACUCGGA